UAUGCUAGUAAACCUUUUCUUAAUUUUAAACAAGACAGACUAGAGUUCUUCAAAUUGUUUAUACUUUUUCUCAAAUACAAAUAUGUCAAGCUGAUAAGCACUGUGGAGUAGGCAUGUUACUGAUAUUGUUACAUUAGUUCUUUGUUUGAGAAGCUUCAUGUCUGCACUGAUCCUAAAUUUAACAGUUUUUGAAGGGUUUGGUUCUUUGUUUUAUUUCUGUGUCACUGACUUUUUUCAUUUUUAUGUGUGGAUUUGUUAGGCGCAUCAACACAUGAUAUAGACAUCGUGUCCAAAAGAAGAGCGAGACGUAAUCCUGAGGCUGAAGCUACCGAGUUUAUUUGAUCUGGAUGUGACAAGUCUUGUUUUAAGGCCCAGUGGAUCAAUGAUUGGAAAGACACCAACUGUUGAUGUUCUAUCUCAACAUUCUCCAGACUCAUGUGACCGAUAAACCGACUUCAUCCCUCCAACAGACACCAACUGUUGGGGUUCUAUCUCAACAUUCUCCAGAUUCAGAUGUGAGCGAUAAACCGACUUCAUCCCUCCAACAGACACCAACUGUUGGGGUUCUAUCUCAACAUUCUCCAGAUUCAGAUGUGAGCGAUAAACCGACUUCAUCCCUCCAACAGAAACCAACUGUUGAGGUUCCAUCUCAACAUUCUCCAGAUUCAGAUGUGAGCCAUUAACUGACUUCAUCCCUCCAACAGAAACCAACUGUUGAGGUUCUAUCUCAACAUUCUCUAGAUUCAGAUGACAGCCAUAAACCGACUUCAUCCCUCCAACAGAUUGACAGCAGGACAAAUCGCUGGAAGUAGCUGCAAAGGGGAAGAAGUGGAAGCAGUUGAAUGACACAUGUUGCAUUUUGUAACUGGCAACAAAGUACCAGGUAAAAAAGAUUGUGAAGCCUGCCUCCAUAAAGAACUAGUAGCUCUACAGGACAGAGAUUGGCUUGCCAUCAAGUACUACAUCCAUAACAGAAUUAUAUUAAAAAAAGGGGAAAAAAAUGUUUUCCCACAUCUUCUGUGGUAGUUUGAGUAUGUUACCAGCAAUUAAAAAAGCAAAAUAAA